rnacentral:rRNA from 1 species
GACGAACGCUGGCGGCGUGCCUAAUACAUGCAAGUCGAACGAGAGCGACCGGUGCUUGCACUGGUCAAUCUAGUGGCGAACGGGUGAGUAACACGUGGGUAACCUGCCCAUCAGAGGGGGAUAACAUCCGGAAACGGAUGCUAAAACCGCAUAGGUCUUCGAGCCGCAUGGCUUGAAGAGGAAAAGAGGCGCAAGCUUCUGCUGAUGGAUGGACCCGCGGUGCAUUAGCUAGUUGGUGAGGUAACGGCUCACCAAGGCCGUGAUGCAUAGCCGACCUGAGAGGGUGAUCGGCCACAUUGGGACUGAGACACGGCCCAAACUCCUACGGGAGGCAGCAGUAGGGAAUCUUCCGCAAGGGACGCAAGUCUGACGGAGCAACGCCGCGUGAGUGAAGAAGGUUUUCGGAUCGUAAAACUCUGUUGUUAGAGAAGAACAAGUGCUAGAGUAACUGUUAGCGCCUUGACGGGAUCUAACCAGAAAGCCACGGCUAACUACG